AUGGGUAAGGUUUCAGACACCGACGACAGUUUCGACGACAAUCGGCCGAAGCAUAUCACAGGCGUCAACAAGAUUGACUGGGCCAACGAGGAGCACCGCCGCUGCAUCGCCGCCUGCCUCGUCAAAGGCGUUUACGUCCACGAGAACGACAGAGCGGAGCGCAGGGCGGUUAAGCUGGCGCCGGCAUGGUGGGAAAGCUUUGGCUUCCACCUAAAGAAAGAACUCAGAGAGCCGAUAUACUCCGCCAUCGUCGGUGUUGUAUUCGACACCAUCUACGGUGCCAUCUUCGAGUACAGCCCCAGCGCGCCCGGCGACCGGUGCGCUCCACGGUAUGUCGUCGCCUUCAGGGGCACAAAGCCGGGGAGUAUUCGAGACUACUACCUUGACCUGAAAAUAGUGAUCAACAAACUGGAGAAACGCACGCGCGUCCAGCAACCGUGCCGGUUGGUCGACCAACUUAUUACUGCUAUGAGAAAGGAGGACCAAGCAAGCCAAGGCCAAGACAGCUGCAUCUGGCUCGCCGGGCACUCUCUCGGAGCAGCUGUGGCGCUGGUCGUGGGACGGUACGUGAUGGUGCAGGAGAAGCCGCCCAACCUCCCGACCUUCCUCUUCAAUCCACCGCACGUGUCAUUUAUAACGUCGAUCAACUUGCUGAAGCUGGACCCGGUGGCGAAGGAGAGCGUGCACCGGGUGGGUAACAUCUUAAGGGAGGGUGCUGCAAAGGUCUUGCGCUCCCAUCGGGAGCGCAUGGACAACUUGUUCCAGCGGCUUUCCCCUUGGGUGCCGAAUCUGUACGUGCACGAGAAGGACCCCAUCUGCCAGGGGUUCAUCGACUACUUCGAGCAGCGGCAGAAGUUCAUGGAAGCCUCCCCCGGUGUUGGCACAACGUUCGCGGCAUUCUCUCGCCGUGACGCGUUCUGGCACCUGAUUGGCAAGGACAAGGACCGGCCGCAACUCCUGCCAUCGGCGGUGCUGUGGAAAAGCAGGUUCGAGCACGAUAAUCACGGUCUCCAGCAGUGGUGGAAACAGGACAGCGAGCUCGGCUUGGAGGUCCAGCAUUAUAGCUACCCUGUACCUGAAGCACAAACUGCUUCUACCUCAGUGCCGGCUUAG
rnacentral:rRNA from 1 species